rnacentral:rRNA from 1 species
AUGAACGCUGGCGGCGUGCCUAAUACAUGCAAGUCGAGCGAACGGACGAGAAGCUUGCUUUUCUGAUGUUAGCGGCGGACGGGUGAGUAACACGUGGAUAACCUACCUAUAAGACUGGGAUAACUUCGGGAAACCGGAGCUAAUACCAGAUAAUAUUUUGAACCGCCUGGUUCAAAAGUGAAAGACGGUCUUGCUGUCACUUAUAGAUGGAUCCGCGCUGCAUUAGCUAGUUGGUAAGGUAACGGCUUACCAAGGCAACGAUGCAUAGCCGACCUGAGAGGGUGAUCGGCCACACUGGAACUGAGACACGGUCCAGACUCCUACGGGAGGCAGCAGUAGGGAAUCUUCCGCAAUGGGCGAAAGCCUGACGGAGCAACGCCGCGUGAGUGAUGAAGGUCUUCGGAUCGUAAAACUCUGUUAUUAGGGAAGAACAUAUGUGUAAGUAACUGUGCACAUCUUGACGGUACCUAAUCAGAAAGCCACGGCUAACUACGUG